CGCGUAGGUGGCGGGACAAGCGUGCGGUGAAAGCUCGGGGCUCAACCCCGCGUCGGCCGUGCGAACUGUUUUGCUUGAGCACUGUAGAGGCAGGCGGAAUUCCGGGUGUAGCGGUGGAAUGCGUAGAGAUCCGGAAGAACACCGGUGGCGAAGGCGGCCUGCUGGGCAGUAGCUGACACUGAGGCGCGACAGCGUGGGGAGCAAACA
rnacentral:rRNA from 1 species